GCUGAAUUGCAAUCUCAAUUAAUUAAUUAAGGAUGAAUUAAAGAUUAGCAUGACAAAUCUUGCAUGGGACAAGUAUUGAAAACUGCAUACCAAUAUAAGGAGUGCAGUCCUAAAUUUUAUAGUCAAUGACAUAAAAAAGUAGCAUCCCAGUGUUUCAAUCUGGCGUCGUUGUUGUGUUUGAACCGAGUCGUCGAUCUUCCUAAUAUCUACCCAC
rnacentral:lncRNA from 1 species